UCAGGAUCUUUUGCCUACACGUUUCUUAGCUCUGCCAGCUCUCCAGAUUUUUUUUUUUCAAAAAUUAAUUAAAGUCUGUCAAUGGCAGGCCACCCUUGUGGAUCGCUGUGUCUCUCGGCCCAACUGGAAAUCUCCAAAGCUCCAUCUCUCCUGAUUCCAGGUCAACAUUCAGCAUAGAAUCAGUCACUCAGAGGUGCUACUCAGAAGUUCACAUAUUAAAUGGAUAUGGAGGAGUCUUUGCCCAGCCUUUGACACUGUCCUGGGGAGGGGCAUCAAAGAAGAAAAGAAAUUCAGCUUGGAAAUAACUUGGAGAUGCCCUUGAGAUGUAAUGGAGGGAGAUGCUCUGGGGAUGAGCAACUGACUAGGAUUUUGCCCUGCUCUGCCCUGUCACCUACUGUGGGCCCUCACACUUGCCUACUGACUGGAGAGAAAGCUCCAAUGAGUGCAAAGCUAAGUUCUCCAAGGUUCAGGUUCCAGGGAGUUCACAAGGCUGCAAACACAAUUACUGCUCAAGUUACUGAGCCAAUGCU
rnacentral:lncRNA from 1 species